rnacentral:lncRNA from 1 species
UGAAGUUUCUCUUGGUGGUGGAAUGACAAGAAGACAUGGUCCCAUGGGUAUUCUGGCAACAUCCCCUAUGGUGGCAAAAGAUGAUGUGGCUGCUGCCCAGAGCCCUGGCACGAAGCCUGUGGCCACCUCUGACAAACACCCACAAACAUGCAGCGGAGCUAAAUAAAGAGCCGUUUCGUGAGCAUCCCUGGCAGAGAUGAGCAACACUUUCUCUGCCUCCUCAGAAAACAGUUUUCUGGAACAUCAAGCCAAAGGAAAGGUGUAAUUUAUUGUGGGGAUUGCAUAUUACAUAAUUAGUUUUUGGGAGUUCCUUCGGUAAUUACAAUCUGUAACAUUUGUAAUUGAUUUGGUCAGAUUAAAAAUGGAUGUGUUGGUGCAUCUGUGAAACUAGCAAGAGGGCAAGGAGGAGUGGGAGGGGGAAAUGUCUCACUGAAGGAGACCAAGAGCAACCUGGACUCAGGCCAAGCCCCAGAUGACACCAUUUCUGGAGCCAAAAGCACAGCAGGCCUCUAAGAUGCACACUCAGCAGGUGUGCUGUGAACUGGAACAGCAGCUCUCUCUUCAGGCGGGGACCAGCUGCUGAAGGUUCCUGGACUCAGAGAAUCCCAUCCCAGUGGCUGUUCCUCCAACACUGAGAGCUCCAAACAGAGAGGAGGAGCUGCUCCUGAAACACAGCUGCUGUGGAGGUUAUGGGAGGAAGACCAGGCAUUCAGGAAAAGGAGUAAAAUGUCCCAGUUGAGCAGGCUGAUUAGCUAACAUUGAACGAGCACCUACUGCCUAUAAAGCAUUGCAGAAAACUACAAACUCUCAGAAACAGAGCCUUAAGGAAGUCCAGUAGAGGACAGAUCUGGGUGCAGAUGAUUACAUUACAAUGUGGUGGGCAAGUGCUUUACAAGAAAAACAGAAAGAGAUUGAAGAUAUAGAAGAGAGAAACAAAGAAAGGAGCAGAGAAAGAAAAGCGAAGGAGAAAGGAGGAAAAUAGAAGUACCGAGGAGCACCCGCACUGGGCCAUGAACAAGAAGCUUGAUGGAUAGGAGGGAUGGCCUUGUGGAGAAAAGAGUAUUUUUCUCCAGAACAGGUGUCAGCCAACUACAUUCUGCAACAUAAAUCUGGCCCACUGCCUGUUUUUGUAAACAAAGGUUUUGUUUUGG